rnacentral:miRNA from 1 species
CUCAAGUUCUCAUUUCCAAUAC